rnacentral:rRNA from 1 species
GACGAACGCUGGCGGCGUGCUUAACACAUGCAAGUCGAACGGAAAGGCCCUGCUUUUGUGGGGUGCUCGAGUGGCGAACGGGUGAGUAACACGUGAGUAACCUGCCCUUGACUUUGGGAUAACUUCAGGAAACUGGGGCUAAUACCGGAUAGGAGCUCCUGCUGCAUGGUGGGGGUUGGAAAGUUUCGGCGGUUGGGGAUGGACUCGCGGCUUAUCAGCUUGUUGGUGGGGUAGUGGCUUACCAAGGCUUUGACGGGUAGCCGGCCUGAGAGGGUGACCGGCCACAUUGGGACUGAGAUACGGCCCAGACUCCUACGGGAGGCAGCAGUGGGGAAUAUUGCACAAUGGGCGGAAGCCUGAUGCAGCAACGCCGCGUGCGGGAUGACGGCCUUCGGGUUGUAAACCGCUUUCGCCUGUGACGAAGCGUGAGUGACGGUAAUGGGUAAAGAAGCACCGGCUAACUACGUGCCAGCAGCCGCGGUGAUACGUAGGGUGCGAGCGUUGUCCGGAUUUAUUGGGCGUAAAGGGCUCGUAGGUGGUUGAUCGCGUCGGAAGUGUAAUCUUGGGGCUUAACCCUGAGCGUGCUUUCGAUACGGGUUGACUUGAGGAAGGUAGGGGAGAAUGGAAUUCCUGGUGGAGCGGUGGAAUGCGCAGAUAUCAGGAGGAACACCAGUGGCGAAGGCGGUUCUCUGGGCCUUUCCUGACGCUGAGGAGCGAAAGCGUGGGGAGCGAACAGGCUUAGAUACCCUGGUAGUCCACGCUGUAAACGGUGGGUACUAGGUGUGGGGUCCAUUCCACGGGUUCCGUGCCGUAGCUAACGCUUUAAGUACCCCGCCUGGGGAGUACGGCCGCAAGGCUAAAACUCAAAGGAAUUGACGGGGCCCCGCACAAGCGGCGGAGCAUGCGGAUUAAUUCGAUGCAACGCGUAGAACCUUACCUGGGUUUGACAUGGAUCGGGAGCGCUCAGAGAUGGGUGUGCCUCUUUUGGGGUCGGUUCACAGGUGGUGCAUGGCUGUCGUCAGCUCGUGUCGUGAGAUGUUGGGUUAAGUCCCGCAACGAGCGCAACCCUUGUUCACUGUUGCCAGCACGUUAUGGUGGGGACUCAGUGGAGACCGCCGGGGUCAACUCGGAGGAAGGUGGGGAUGACGUCAAGUCAUCAUGCCCCUUAUGUCCAGGGCUUCACGCAUGCUACAAUGGCUGGUACAGAGAGUGGCGAGCCUGUGAGGGUGAGCGAAUCUCGGAAAGCCGGUCUCAGUUCGGAUUGGGGUCUGCAACUCGACCUCAUGAAGUCGGAGUCGCUAGUAAUCGCAGAUCAGCAACGCUGCGGUGAAUACGAUCCCGGGGCU